CUUCAUUUUGACUUUCGAAUAAGUUAACAGCUGGGUAGAGUGGCGUCUAUCUGUAGCUCAAGCUUCUGGAUUUCAAUCUAUGUUUUUUAGAGCCUGGUGUUGACAUUGGCAUCUUCAAGUAAUUGUGAGAUGGCAAGGUUAUUAAAGACUUGGAGAACGCGUGAGGCUGGCAACAGAGCAACAAAAACCAAGCGCACUGGAGCAGUCAGAGGUUGGCAAGUCUGAGUGGAUGG
rnacentral:SRP_RNA from 1 species